rnacentral:antisense_RNA from 1 species
UGUAGCGGUAGGACGGAAGGGGGACACCUUCGGGUGUGCUGGGUUCUCGAAGCCAGUCUGCUAACCCUCUUUCGUUCUGCCACCAUA